rnacentral:rRNA from 1 species
AGCGAACGCUGGCGGCAGGCCUAACACAUGCAAGUCGAACGAACUCUUCGGAGUUAGUGGCGGACGGGUGAGUAACACGUGGGAACGUGCCUUUUGGUUCGGAAUAACUCAGGGAAACUUGUGCUAAUACCGAAUGUGCCCUUCGGGGGAAAGAUUUAUCGCCAUUAGAGCGGCCCGCGUCUGAUUAGCUAGUUGGUGAGGUAACGGCUCACCAAGGCGACGAUCAGUAGCUGGUCUGAGAGGAUGACCAGCCACACUGGGACUGAGACACGGCCCAGACUCCUACGGGAGGCAGCAGUGGGGAAUCUUGCGCAAUGCGCGAAAGCCUGACGCAGCCAUGCCGCGUGAAUGAUGAAGGUCUUAGGAUUGUAAAUUUCUUUCACCGGGGACGAUAAUGACGGUACCCGGAGAAGAAGCCCCGGCUAACUUCGUG